UACAGAGGGGGCAAGCGUUAUUCGGAAUUAUUUGGGCGUAAGAGCGUGUAGGCGGCCAUGUAGGUCCGGUGUGAAAACUCGAGGCUUAACCUCGAGAUGUCAUCGGAAACCAUUUGGCUAGAGUCCGGAAGAGGAGAGUGGAAUUCCUGGUGUAGCGGUGAAAAUGCGCAGAUAUCAGGAAGAACACCAAUGGCGAAAGCAGCUCUCUGGGACGGUACUGAC
rnacentral:rRNA from 1 species